rnacentral:lncRNA from 1 species
CCUCUCUGCUCAACUCAUGGCCACAUUUUCUUAACGGACAUAUAUUUGUCCAUUUUGAGGUUUGAAGCUCACAGAGUAACAAAGCUAAGAAGUAAGAAAUCUCCUUAGGCCAGGUUCUUGGUCUUUAUUUAAUAGGCUAUGGAAUAAAAGUUAUUAGAAGUUGGAAGGGGAACAAGUCUAGAGCUGGAGAAACAGAAUCAAGCUUCUGGCCCCCCCAACUCCAUCCCCCCCGACGGCCCCGAAUGGACAAACCUUGAGAUCUCGGGGCUGGUGCAGAGUUUCCACUUUCCACUCCUCGAUCUUCAGAGCAGCGAGCUUCUGACGCUCAGAGAGGGGCUGCAGGUCAAGGGCUGGAGUUGGGUGACUCAGCUGGGGGCGGGGCCUCGUGGGAAAUCCCCGCCGCAGCUCUGCGGAGUUGCUGCUUGAUAUUUGCUGACCCCAAAAUCCCCCAGAGCCCCCGUCUCCACUUGAUAAUGGCACUUCGAGCCAUUUCUUGGAAGCAGCUCUCUGCCCUUAGGACAUCUCUCUGAUGGCUUUGGGGAAAGGGUUUUGUCCUGUUUUAAAAGUCUUCCAGGCCAAAACCUUGAACGGCUCCUUCACAUAUUUGAGGUGUUGGGGGUGAAGCCCACCUCUUAAAUGAAUACCAGCAUUUUUGCCACAGCCUGCCUGUCGCCUGUGUAAUAAUAAUGAUUCUAGAACUCUCACUCACUGAGUGCGCUGAUGUGCCCGGCAUCAUGUAAGCACUUGAACGAAUCCUCUCCUCAGAAGAGCCCCAGGAGCUGGUACCAUCAUUACUAUUAGAAGACAUUAUGCAAAUGAGAACACUGUGCCUAUGAGUCUAGCCAGGAAGAGGAAGAGGAAGAAGGGAGCAGGGAAGGAGAGGUGGAGGAGGCGGUCAGGCAGGAGGAGGAGAGGAAGAUGCUCUCGAGAAAUGAGGAUGAACCUGCCCAGUCCUGAGAGGCUACGGGCGCCCAGGAAGACGACCGAGGAAACUAUCUAGCAAGAGUCAUUUCAACUAAAACAGAAGGUUUUCUGUUAGGAUCCAAACAGAAAAGAACUAUUUCCCCUGAGGAGACAUGGGGGCUUGGUGUCAAACUGGGGUAUGAAGACAGGGGAGGAGGGAGCUAAUGUUUAUUAAACACUAGCUACGUGCUAAGCACUUUACAUGUUUCCGUGAUUCCUAUCCUACCACCAUGCUCCUGUUGUCCAC